GGCCUGUGAUGUUAUAAAAUUGUCCGUACCAUCUGAUAUUCUGAUGUAUUCAUAUUUCAAACCUUUCUGCGGCCU